rnacentral:rRNA from 1 species
AGCGAAUGCUGGCGGCAGGCCUAACACAUGCAAGUCGAACGGACCCUUCGGGGUUAGUGGCGGACGGGUGAGUAACACGUGGGAACGUGCCCUUUGGUUCGGAAUAGCUCCUGGAAACGGGUGGUAAUGCCGAAUGUGCCCUUCGGGGGAAAGAUUUAUCGCCAUUGGAGCGGCACGCGUCUGAUUAGCUAGUUGGUAGUGUAACGGACUACCAAGGCGACGAUCAGUAGCUGGUCUGAGAGGAUGAUCAGCCACAUUGGGACUGAGACACGGCCCAAACUCCUAAGGGAGGCAGCAGUGGGGAAUCUUGCGCAAUGGGCGAAAGCCUGACGCAGCCAUGCCGCGUGAAUGAUGAAGGUCUUAGGAUUGUAAAAUUCUUUCACCGGGGACGAUAAUGACGGUACCCGGAGAAGAAGCCCCGGCUAACUUCGUGCCAGCCGCCGCGGUAA